rnacentral:rRNA from 1 species
AUGAACGCUGGCGGUAUGCUUAACACAUGCAAGUCGAACGGACUCUUCGGAGUUAGUGGCGGACGGGUGAGUAACGCGUGAGAAUCUGGCUUCAGGUCGGGGAUAACUACUGGAAACGGUGGCUAAUACCGGAUGUGCCGAAAGGUGAAAGGCUUGCUGCCUGAAGAUGAGCUCGCGUCUGAUUAGCUAGUUGGUGUGGUAAGAGCGCACCAAGGCGACGAUCAGUAGCUGGUCUGAGAGGAUGAUCAGCCACACUGGGACUGAGACACGGCCCCAGACUCCUACGGGAGGCAGCAGUGGGGAAUUUUCCGCAAUGGGCGAAAGCCUGACGGAGCAAUACCGCGUGAGGGAGGAAGGCUCUUGGGUUGUAAACCUCUUUUCUCAAGGAAUAAGUUCUGAAGGUACUUGAGGAAUCAGCAUCGGCUAACUCCGUGCCAGCAGCCGCGGUAAUACGGAGGAUGCAAGCGUUAUCCGGAAUGAUUGGGCGUAAAGCGUCCGCAGGUGGCUAUGUAAGUCUGCUGUUAAAGAGUGAGGCUUAAACCUCAUAAAAGCAGUGGAAACUACAUAGCUAGAGUGCGUUCGGGGCAGAGGGAAUUCCUGGUGUAGCGGUGAAAUGCGUAGAGAUCAGGAAGAACAACCGGUGGCGAAGGCGCUCUGCUAGGCCGCAAACUGACACUGAGGGACGAAAAGCUAGGGGAGCGAAUGGGAUUAGAUACCCCAGUAGUCCUAGCCGUAAACGAUGGAUACUAGGCGUUGCGAGUAUCGACCCUCGCAGUGCCGGAGCCAACGCGUUAAGUAUCCCGCCUGGGGAGUACGCACGCAAGUGUGAAACUCAAAGGAAUUGACGGGGGCCCGCACAAGCGGUGGAGUAUGUGGUUUAAUUCGAUGCAACGCGAAGAACCUUACCAAGACUUGACAUGUCGCGAAUCCCGGUGAAAGCUGGGAGUGCCUUCGGGAGCGCGAACACAGGUGGUGCAUGGCUGUCGUCAGCUCGUGUCGUGAGAUGUUGGGUUAAGUCCCCGCAACGAGCGCAACCCUCGUUUUUAGUUGCCAGCAUUAAGUUGGGCACUCUAGAGAGACUGCCGGUGACAAAACCGGAGGAAGGUGGGGAUGACGUCAAGUCAGCAUGCCCCUUACGUCUUGGGCUACACACGUACUACAAUGCUACGAACAGAGGGCAGCAAGCGUGCGAACGCAAGCAAAUCCCGGAAAAUCGUAGCUCAGUUCAGAUCGAAGCUUGCAACUCAGCUUCGUGAAGGAGGAAUCGCUAGUAAUUGCAGGUCAGCAUACUGCAGUGAAUUCGUUCCCGGGCCUUGUACACACCGCCCGUCACACCAUGGAAGCUGGCAACGCCCGAAGUCAUUAACCCCCAACUUUUCGGAGAGGGGGAUGCCUAAGGCAGUGCUGGUGACUGGGGUG